rnacentral:rRNA from 1 species
UACGUAGGGACCAAGCGUUGUUCGGAUUUACUGGGCGUAAAGGGCGCGUAGGCGGCAUAUUAAGUCAGCUGUGAAAUCUCCGAGCUUAACUCGGAACUGUCAGCUGAUACUGAUGUGCUAGAGUGCAGAAGGGGCAAUCGGAAUUCUUGGUGUAGCGGUGAAAUGCGUAGAUAUCAAGAGGAACACCUGAGGUGAAGACGGGUUGCUGGGCUGACACUGACGCUGAGGCGCGAAAGCCAGGGGAGCAAACGGG